UACGUAGGUGGCGAGCGUUAUCCGGAAUUAUUGGGCGUAAAGGGAGCGCAGGCGGCGCAUUAAGUCUAUGGUGAAAGUUCGAAGCUUAACUUCGAAUUGCCAUAGAAACUGGUGUGCUAGAGUGCAGGAGAGGUGAGUGGAAUUCCAUGUGUAGCGGUAAAAUGCGUAGAUAUAUGGAGGAACACCAGUGGCGAAGGCGGCUCACUGGCCUGUAACUGACGCUGAGGCUCGAAAGCGUGGGGAGCAAAUA
rnacentral:rRNA from 1 species